ACCACCAGCCGAUUGGCUGAAAAAUACCGCUGAAGUCCAGCAGCGCCACCGCGAGUUUCCUCAGUUUUUGCCUCCGAUGAGGCCCUUUCCGGUUCCCGUUCGAUGUAAUUUUUAUACCACUGUGACCAGUCCUUUUCUCUACAAGUUGACUGGAGCAAAACACCAAAUUGCAACUCGUGCCGGAGGAGCCGCCGUACCCGAGAGCUUCGCCACAGG
rnacentral:lncRNA from 1 species